CAAGCGUUAUCCGGAUUUAUUGGGUUUAAAGGGUGCGUAGGCGGUUUGAUAAGUUAGAGGUGAAAUUUCGGGGCUCAACCCUGAACGUGCCUCUAAUACUGUUGAGCUAGAGAGUAGUUGCGGUAGGCGGAAUGUAUGGUGUAGCGGUGAAAUGCUUAGAGAUCAUACAGAACACCGAUUGCGAAGGCAGCUUACCAAACUAUAUCUGACGUUGAGGCACGAAAGCGUGGGGAGCAAACAGGAUUAGAUACCCUGGUAGUCCACGCAGUAAACGAUGAUAACUCGUUGUCGGCGAUACACAGUCGGUGACUAAGCGAAAGCGAUAAGUUAUCCACCUGGGGAGUACGUUCGCAAGAAUGAAACUCAAAGGAAUUGACGGGGGCCCGCACAAGCGGAGGAACAUGUGGUUUAAUUCGAUGAUACGCGAGGAACCUUACCCGGGCUUGAAAGUUAGCGACGAUUCUUGAAAGAGGAUUUCCCUUCGGGGCGCGAAACUAGGUGCUGCAUGGUUGUCGUCAGCUCGUGCCGUGAGGUGUCGGGUUAAGUCCCAUAACGAGCGCAACCCCUACCGUUAGUUGCCAUCAGGUGAAGCUGGGCACUCUGGCGGGACUGCCGGUGUAAGCCGAGAGGAAGGUGGGGAUGACGUCAAAUCAGCACGGCCCUUACGUCCGGGGCUACACACGUGUUACAAUGGGGGGUACAGAGGGCCGCUACCACGCGAGUGGAUGCCAAUCCCAAAAACCUCUCUCAGUUCGGACUGGAGUCUGCAACCCGACUCCACGAAGCUGGAUUCGCUAGUAAUCGCGCAUCAGCCAUGGCGCGGUGAAUACGUUCCC
rnacentral:rRNA from 1 species